rnacentral:miRNA from 8 species
CAGUGCAAUAGUAUUGUCAUUGCAU